rnacentral:rRNA from 1 species
AUGAGGACGCGAGCGGCGGAGUGCGGCGAGGAGCUGCGGCUGUCCGUCCCCGGAGAGUACCCCUGCGUCCGGCGGUUCCGUUACCGGCGGCUCCUCACUUUCCUCUGGCUCCAAGGCUAUGGCUACACCUUCGUUGCGAUGCUGAGGCAGACGAACGCCUACCUGUGCGUGUUCCAUCUGAAGCACCUGGUGUCGCAGGGGCAGUGGACCGAAGCCCUGGAGUACAUCAUCCCACGCUUCCUGCCGCGAGUCCCCCGUUCGCCGCCGAGCCUCGAGGCCCGCGUCCUCGUCAAGUUCCUCCGCACGCAGCGCUUGUUCGAGCUGGCAGUAGUCAGGCACCUGGACGAGCAUUCUCUGGACCGGAGAGCCAUGUGGGCUAGAGCAGCGGAGAUCGUCGGGGACUUGGCCAACAGGACUCCGGAGUUCAGAGACCGGCUGCUACUGCCGGACGGCCCGAUGGGUCCGCAGCACGUCCUCCCCAUCGGCUUCGGCUUUGCUCCUUUCCGUCGGAGGCGGCACGUCAAGACCCAUACCCGUCCUACCGGCAAGCUUGCACGUCAUCGACAUACCCGUCGGGUAGCUAAACUCUAUUUUGACAAGAGGAUGAGCCUGGCUUCUUGCAGCCACAGCACCCAGGAGUUGGCACCUGAAAUCAUAGCUAAGGCGAAGGAUGAUUGGUUCAGGAGAAUUAUGGAGGAAUGUGUUAAAGCCGGCACAUGCCCGAAGCUUAAUCAAGGCUGUGCACCUCAACCGUGUGCAAGAGAAGGUAUUCCUGCUACUGGCAAUGUGAUAAAGCCUGAAUGUUCUUCGGUCCCAUUAGCAACUGGUGCAGCAAAUCGGGGACCGUCCAUGAUGAGGUUGAGGACGCGAGCGGUGGAGUGCGGCCAGGAGCUGCGAUUGUUCGUCUCUGGAGAGUACCCUUGUGUGAGGCGGUUCCGUUACCGGCGCCUCCUCGCUUUCCUCUGGCUCCAAGGCUAUGGCUACACCUUCGUUGCGAUGCUGAAGCAGACAAACUCCUACUUCUGCGUGUUUCAUCUGGCGCACUUGGUGUCACAGGGGCAGUGGACCGAAGCCUUGGACUACAUCAUCCCUCGCUUCCUGCUGCAAGUCUCCCGUUCGCCGCCGAGCCUUGAGGCCCGAGUCCUCGUCAAGUUUCUCCGCAUGCAACGUUUAUUCGGUGGGAAGUAA